rnacentral:rRNA from 1 species
AACGAACGCUGGCGGCAGGCUUAACACAUGCAAGUCGAACGCUCGUGAGCGAUCACGGGAGUGGCAGACGGGUGAGUAACGCGUGGGAACAUACCCUCCGGUUCGGAAUAGCUCAGGGAAACUUGGAUUAAUACCGGAUACGGCCAAGGAUGAGAAUCGCUGGCGAAAGAUUGAUCGCCGGAGGAUUGGCCCGCGUUCGAUUAGCUAGUUGGUGAGGUAACGGCUCACCAAGGCGAUGAUCGAUAGCUGGUCUGAGAGGAUGAUCAGCCA